rnacentral:rRNA from 1 species
UACGAACCGCGCGAACGUUAUUCGGAAUCACUAGGCUUACAGGGUGCGUAGGCGGCCAAUUAGGUCUGAUGUGAAAUCCCACAGCUCAACUGUGGAACGGCAUUGGAAACCGGUUGGCUUGAGUGAGCUAGAGGUACACGGAACUUCCGGUGGAGCGGUGAAAUGUGUUGAGAUCGGAAGGAACACCAGUAGCGAAGGCGGCUCUCUGGACUGUAACUGACGCUGAGGCACGAAAGCGUGGGGAGCAAACAGGAUUAGAUACCCCU